GUCUUUUUAGGGAUUUUUGUGUGCUUGAGGCCUCUCAAAGCCUGUGGUGUCGGCUCACCACGAGGUUUUAGUAAUGCCACUCUCUGGGGAACACUGCUGGCUUAGCUGAACUCUGAACAAGCAGACCAGUGCACAAGUGCACUUGAGCUCUUUCCUUUCUACUCAUUUGCAACACAUGCCAGGCACCUGCCAAUGUCAAGUAUGGCAAGAAGCUCACCUGAAGGUUACACAGCUGGGCAUGCAUGGACUGCAGGCACCUGUAUCUGUAAGGAAACCAGCAUGCUUGCUCACUUCUUGUGCCAGAGAAAGAAAUGAACCAGUCAGGGCUAAUGAAUGAUGCAGUCCUCUGUGGCUGAAACAUUGCCCUCCCAUCCAACAAUGAAAACUGGGGGGGAGAUCCAUAUACAGGAGCUGACAUGAAUAAAUGGGAAGUCUUAUUCAGAAGUGCACAAAGCCAAAGCUUCAUUCCCUUCUGCUGGGAGGGCAGCACACCUGGUCAGAAGAAGCAAGCAGCAGGUGAGCUGCUGCUUGUGAGGCUAUGCAUAGUGAGGGGAAGAACUUCUACCUCCAGUAAUCCCAGUAGCAAGGAGAGGGUGGGCCUGUGAGGGAGGUCCAGCCAGUUCUGAAGAGCAGUUUUGGUUUAAGAAAGGCUUACAGGAAGCAACAGGCUCUGCCCAGGCCCUGUGCCAGCCUCUUGUCAAACCUCCCAGCAUGAGGAAGAGUGGAAGGAGAGAAGCAUGAGGAGAUCAUGCCUCUGAUGGCAGAGAGGACAGCACUGAAGGAAAGGGGGGGAAAUGAUGUGAAGGUCAACUGUUCAAAGAACAAGGAAGCACUGUAGAUGUUUGGUCUUGUAAUUCUGCCUACACACCUGUGCCUUGUUAAGCCAGCAGUUGUUGACUCAGCCUGUAUUGUUCCUACGUCUCUUGGGCCUGUGGCCAGCUGUACCACUAAAUGUUUCAUUUGCAAUUAUUUGAAUAGUAUUCCUUUUCAAAAUGGAGCAGGAUGGUAGUCUGUAUGGGGUAGCAACAACACAGUGCUGUGCAAUAGCUUCCUCAUUCCCCUGAAGCUGAAAUAUCAGCACUGCAUCUCAAACCUACACAGGUCUCCUGUGAAACGCUACUGGGUCCCUCCAUUAGCACAGUUAGAAGUAUGAAGCAGAAUUAUCUUCUGUUAAGAACUAUGCCUUUGCUUAGCCAUAGUUCUGGAGGUCUUUGUGUGCCAAGUUUUUUCCAAAGUGGCUAAAUAUGCUUUUGACAGUUGCCCCAAAAGUAGAACUCAAAUUAAAAAAGAC
rnacentral:lncRNA from 1 species